rnacentral:rRNA from 1 species
AGUCGAACGCUUUUUCUUUCACCGAGAUUUAUCUCACCGAAAGAAAAAGAGUGGCGAACGGGUGAGUAACACGUGGGUAACCUGCCCAUCAGCGGAGGAUAACACUUGGAAACAGGUGCUAAUACUGCAUAAUACGAAGGAUCACAUGGUCUUUCGUUGAAAGGCGCUUUUGCGUCACUGAUGGAUGGACCCGCGGUGCAUUAGCUAGUUGGUGAGGUAACGGCUCACCAAGGCCACGAUGCAUAGCCGACCUGAGAGGGUGAUCGGCCACACUGGGACUGAGACACGGCCCAGACUCCUACGGGAGGCAGCAGUAGGGAAUCUUCGGCAAUGGACGAAAGUCUGACCGAGCAACGCCGCGUGAGUGAAGAAGGUUUUCGGAUCGUAAAACUCUGUUGUUAGAGAAGAACAAGGAUGAGAAGAGAAUGUUCAUCCCUUGACGGUAUCUAACCAGAAAGCCACGGCUAACUACGUGCCAGCAGCCGCGGUAAUACGUAGGUGGCAAGCGUUGUCCGGAUUUAUUGGGCGUAAAGCGAGCGCAGGCGGUUUCUUAAGUCUGAUGUGAAAGCCCCCGGCUUAACCGGGGAGGGUCAUUGGAAACUGGGAGACUUGAGUGCAGAAGAGGAGAGUGGAAUUCCAUGUGUAGCGGUGAAAUGCGUAGAUAUAUGGAGGAACACCAGUGGCGAAGGCGGCUCUCUGGUCUGUAACUGACGCUGAG